rnacentral:tmRNA from 1 species
GGGGGUGACUGGUUUCGACUUUGUUUGUGGCGAUAGGGGAAGCGAGCCGAGGAAGCCGACGUUGUCUCGCUAAUCAACCGUCGGAAAGUUAUAAGCGCCAAUGUUAAGCGCUCUGAGCUCACGCUCGCUGCCUAAGCGAUCCUGAGCUCUGUCGGUCUGGGAGUGCCUUCGGCCCAGUAACCGGCAUCAGCUAGAAGGCUGGCCAACCGAGCCCGGUCACGGGGCUCGCGCGGUGAGAUUAAUUGUGGCUGGGCCCGUCAUACCAACUCGCUCGCGUGAUUGGUAGGGCCGAGAGAGACACAGCGAGCUGCGCUCGGAGAAGCCCUAACAAAGCGACGAAGGACCCGGGUUCGAUUCCCGGCACCUCCACCA